CGUGAUGUUCUCCUUCCUCUCCCCCACUUUCUCCGUGACUCGCUGUCUCCAAUGGAAAAACCUCUGGGUUUAAAAUGCCAGGGAAAAUUUACCUCUACACAGGAUAUUCUGAGUUGGAAAGACCCCCAAGGAUCAUCAAGUCAAAUGAUGAGAAGUGAUCGGCCCAUUUAGGGAUUGAACUCAGAACAUCGGCAUUCUGAGCAAAUUUUGGGAUCACGAGAAAGGGCUGGGAUGGGAAUGGCUGCUCCUUCUUUUCUGCUAAUGCAUUUUACACAUCAGCCCCUUGAACAGCUCUAAGGCAGAACUGGCUGGCACCUGACAUAACAGCAAAGAACUCCUCCUACCCUGAAUUCCUACCCUUUCCAGCAUUUCCACAAUGGCUCAGAAGGUGCAACAUCCUUUUCCAGGCAGAAAUGAGCAGAACAAGUCCUGAGGGUUCACUUGGUCCAUGGCAGUAAUCCCAAAAGAGACAUGUGUUGUUGUCAUCAAAAGCUUCAAGAUCUGUUAAAAAUUCAAUGACAACACUGGGAUGGGAUUCCCCAGAAACCUUCUCAAUGCUCUUGGCUCAAUUUCUAUGAAUUUUUAGUCCCUCAACUGUCAGAUUGUAGAGUUCAUCCUGGGAUUUAAGGGUUGACUUUGGACCGACCUUCACCUCUGGCCCCAGUUUCCCUCAAAAACAUCCCCUACUUAUUCCAUGUAGAUUAAUUCUUUACCCCCAAAAUUUCCCUAUCUGUGCACUACCAGUGAUCCUGUUUUCCCCUCAAAAUAUUCAUUUUCCAUCCUGAAGAAAACAUCCAUUUCUACACCCAAAAUGUUCACUCCAUGUUCCUAACUGAUGACCUCAGUUUACCUCAGGAUGUUCAUUCCUGAAUCUCUGGAGAUUAUUUCACUCCCCGCCCCCCCCAAAUUUUCCCUGUCUGUCCACUUCUGAUUUCCUCAUUUUUACAAGAAAAUAUUGAUCAUCUACUCUAGGGAUUCUCUCCGGUUUACAAUCCAAAUUUUCAAGUUUUAUCCCCCAAAAUUCCCCUACUUUUCCACCAAUUCCCUCAUUUUUACUUCAAAAUAUUUAUUUAAUACCAUGGAGCUUUUCUCAAGAUUUACUCCCACUAUUUUCCCUACUUGUUCACUGCUCAUAACCUCAUUUUUCCCACUUUUCAUUCUCUUCUCCAGAGAAGAGUGGACUCUCUGUCCUCAGAGGGAAACACAAUCUGAUGGGACACAGCUCUGGCACCACAUUUCCUCUUGUUCCUGCUGUCCUGGAAAGGCACAGGCUCUCUGCAUACUGCCAUAUCAGUGGAUACACCUCUGUGCUACAGCGGCUUUCCGUGAGGGCUUCAAGGCUUUCCUCCAAAUAAUGGCAGCCACCUGGAGCAGUGCACAGCUGGGCCCGGUUCUGACAACACUGACGGAAUGUUCCUUCCAAGUUCGCUUAACAUUACCUUUCAGAGCUUACUCCUGGCACCACAGGAGAAGAAGAAAAGCACCAAGAAAGUGCCACAUCCACUCCCAAACUCCUUUCAGCUCAGCAGUAGGGAAUGUGCUCAUAUCAGCAGGGAAAGGGACUGUAGCCUAGAAGAGGCAGAAGGCAACCCAAGGCCUUCUGCACCUCCUGCGUACAGAGGGGGCCCCCCAGAGAAGCCAGGACAUGUUCUCAGUUUACUAGCAGAGCUGUGGAAACUUUUCUGUAAGUGAAGUGUAGUUUCAGACAUGUAGCACAACACCAAAAUCAUGAUUAAUCUGGUACUGAAAAUAGCAGAGUGCCUUUAGAAAGUGCUGGGGGGAAAAAAAAAAUUAAAAAAAUAAAAGACUUAAUCCAGCACCCAUUACUUCAUUAGGUGCUGGAUCAGCAAACACACAUAAGCUAUUCACAGUAACCCUCACUCAGCUUCCUCCUGUUCUUAUGUUCAAAUCAUACUAUCUAGAACUGACUUUUAAAAAAAACCAACCACAAAACUUCCAAAGACUUCAUGCAAAUAAAAACAUAACUUUAAAUAACACUUAAAAAGCAACAUUAAUUCAAACUGCCAUACUUCAUGCCAGCUUUCAGGAGUUAAAUAAAAAUGUGGUUGCAAAUUAAAUAGAAGCUUUUUUGAGUUUGAAAUUUUCAGCCAAGUAGAAAUAUUUUGUCAAAUGCAUUUCAGGGAAACUUCAUUUGAUGAAAAAUUCCCAGUUUGGGGUAAAGGUGAGUCAGCCAGUUCUCACAAACCUCUGGCUGCCACUGCCUGACUUUGAGAGAACUCUAUCCCGUGCUCCCAGCAGGUACAGUCAUUAAUCUUUAUGCUUUUCAGCAAAAUCCUUUAAUUCACACAGUAAGUGCCACACUAGUACAUGCUGGGUGAAAUCCAGGCUCUGUGGAAACCACAGGAAUUCUCCUGCCAGCAGUGCUGCUUUUCUGUUAGAUUUCCUGCCAAUGAUUGCCCAGUGUUCCACCUAUCCAGAUCCCUCUGCAAGGCCUCUCAUCCCUUGAGCCCACGGCACCUCCCACUUCAGCAUCUUCAGCAAACUCCCUCCUGGUGCGUUCCACUCCUGCACCCAGAUCCUGGACAACAGCAUUGAAAGUAUGAGCCCCUGGAUUGAGACCCAAGCACGCUACUGGCAAACCACAGCUCUCCUCUUUCUCUGACACCUGGCCUGGCUUCCAGAGAGCCACGUGCAGUGUGCCCUGUUCAGCCAAGCUGGCAACCUACCCCACCUGCCUGGCUUCUGGCUGAAUGGCCUUGCUCCCCUGCACACAUUUUAUUCAAACUUGACCAGCACUCGGGGCCCCCUGAGGCAGCUCCUCAGGGAACAUGGCCAACUGCUCCCUGGCAGCUUAUAAUUUGCACUCUUGAAAGCCAGGGUGACAACUCUGCUUUUUGUAACUACACCAAAACAUUUAAAUCAGACCAUCUCAUGGUCACUGUGACCAGGACCAUCGCUCCUGCCAUGAGUCCUCUAUUCACAAACCCCUGUGGCAGAGCACCUUUCCUAGUUGGCUUGCUGAGCAUUUGUGAUGAGAAAUUAUUCUCAACAAACAUCAGGAAUUUCCCAGACUGCUUGUCACAGCAAUAUGGUACUCAUGUCUAGUUAAGUUACUCACUGAUCCUAAAUUAAAACUGGACUUGACAUUCCACUAGCAUUCAGGAAUGUUCUACUAGCAUUUAAAAAUUGUGAAACACAUGGAAUCUUGCCACACGACCACUUAGUUUCAAACAUGGCCCCAGAGCGUUGUUCAUUGACCUGGGUAAAACAAAGCCCUGGCCCACGCCCACAGGGGCUUGCAAGGAAUAAUUAAUGUUUAACAUGCUCCAGCUCACAUAUGUGAAAUAGCUCCAACCAUAGGCAGAUGGCACCUUAGUUCACCAUGCACACUGGGAACGAGCUGUGCCACCAGCAGGCAUGUGUCACCACACCCACACAUCCAUGUCCCUGCCACCCUGGAGCGAGCAUAGCCCAGCUUGGCCCGUAGUCAGACCCCAGAGCCACAGCCCCUGCCAGCCAGGCCCCACAGAUCUCCAUCCAGGAUCCAAGAGCUGCGGGACCCUCCUGCGGCAGGCCCUGCACCGCCACGGGCGCUCCAUGCCAGGGCAGUGCCUUGCCCGGUGCCAGUGCUGGGAACACCACCCAGGGCACAGCCAGAGCCAGGGCAGUGUCCCGGGAUCAUCCCCAGAGCCCAACUGUGGGAAGGGCCCAUCCAGCCCCGCAGCCACGUGCGGGGCUCUGCCAGGAACCGGGGCUGCCCCGUCCCGUGCCAAAGACAGCUCCACAGCCUGGGCACUGGGAGAAAGCACUCACAUAAGCUGGAAAAGCAUCAGCUGAUAUCUGGUGAAUUCUGGAGGAAAUAACUCGCUUUCCACUUGGGAUAAAGGUUCAGAUUUGUAUAUGCGGUGUUUUGUUUUUUUCCAGUCCUAAUAAACUUCUGAGGAAGAAAACCAAGUUUUCAGGAGUAUUCUAGGAACAGCAGGUGAGUUCUAAAUUUCAGUUCAUACAGAAUUAAUCCUGCAAAUAUUAAUUAAAAGUUGGGUUUUUUUCUUGGUAAGUAGAGAGAAUAAUCUCUGAAUCCCUGAAUAUUUGCCUUGGAAGCAAAUAAUAUUGAAAUGACUGCAAAUCGCACAGUUAAAGAGUCUUCACUCAGACAUGAAAUAAAGUAAUUGUUUUUUGAUCUUUAAAUGGGCAGUCUACCUUCCAUUUAAUAAAAAUAAAAAUUAAUUAACCGAGAUCACUAAAACAAGAAUUGCAUGAGUUGGAUUGUUCUCCGAUACAACAGAAAAAUUCCAAGAGGCUGGAAAGUGUUUUGUUUUAGAGGCAGCAGAAAAUUUUAGCUUUUAAAAUAAAAACACUCCCAAACACAGAAAGCUCAUACCAAUGAGUCAGCAAAAGGGGUCACAGAGAGCAUUAAAAGGUCUACAGUGGUGUGACAUAUAACCCCUGGUGAGACUGAUAAAGAUUGGUAGAGCAGGUACCUUUUGUCCAAAAAAAAUUACUGACACACCUCAGCAGUUUCACCAGAUAUGAAUAUCAAUACAUAGAUAUUUAAAGUCAGCAUUUCCUGAAAAUCAAACAGAAUUUUCCUCCCUUCUCACUUCAUUUGCGUUUCUUUUUAGAAAGGUUACUUUUCAUUGUUGGAUCUCAUUUCUCCAUUAAAAAUGCAUUAAAAAAAUUAAAAAAAUAAAGAAGAAAAGUAAUUUAACCAGCAAACUAGUUCCUCUCUCAAACACUAAUAACUACUAACACUGUGAAACUGUAAGAAAUGAAACACAAAAAAGGAAUUCUCAAGAUAAUUUUUCUUUAACUGUGUUCUGAGGACAACAUUGUGUAACUGAGGCCAAACCUUGUGAGGUUAUGGCAAUAGAUUUCAAGCUCUGGUGAGCUGAACUGGUACGUGAUUACACAGGCAGGUCGUGCAUGCAGUUCCUAGCGGUUAAGGACAGCCAGAUGUUUCCUUACAGAGCUGGGCACUCCUCCCCUCCCCACCCAGCAAGAACCUGUGUCCUUUUAAGCCCAGCUCUGCCCCGGCCAGCCCGGUUUGCCCAGUGACAUCUCCACGGUGUGCGGGACAAAGGCGGACACGGAACACCAGCAGAAAUCAGAAGAGAUCACGGCUUCCAGGUUAAAGACCUUUGCUCAACUUUCUGCUGUUCUGAGUUAAUCUUUCUCUACCCAGCCAUCGGAGUGACCGUCACAGGUAAUCUUUAACCAGUGGCCAUUGACUGACAAGGAUCACAGCGUUCCUCCUCUGGGGUCUGAACUGUCCCAGCACUCGUAGCCCUUACCUCUGUCCAUGAGAUCGUGGUAAAUGUGCCCCUUGAAUGCUGCAGUACUCUGGGAUAAGCUGAUAAACAACACCUUUGUACUCUGAGCGCAAAAAUUCCUGUAGCAAUGUCCUCUUCAAAUUAUAUGGCCAUAUCCAAAAGUGAUGUGCGUCAGCAUAGUCAUUGACAUUAAGAAAGAAAAGGGAUAAAUUAAGUUCCACUGUUGGGUAUGUGUCAUUUUUCUCCAUAAAAGAUUCUGGCCUAAAUCUUUGACCCAGAUUUGUCUGGAAGUUUUAGCCAAGGGAGCCAUGCCCACAGCUGGUGGGCCCAUGACAGGAUUUUUUCCAUGGAUGAAAUAGCCAGCCCCAAAUCAAUUGAAGAGUAUUGAUUAUGUGCUGGAGUAAAGCCACAAAGAUACAGCUCAGCCUUUUCCCUGCACUUAUUCCUUCAGUUUUGAAGCUGUUCUUCCACUGUUGCUGCACAGAAAAGACACCAUCCCUGUGAUUUCCAUUUCCCUCAACAUAUCCUCCACAUUGUAUAUAAGAAAAAUGAAACGAAAGAGCUUUUGUAGGGAUCAAAUCAUGUGCUUUGUAUAGUGACACCUUACUUACCAGAAGCUCUGCAUAUAAAAUGGAAGCACAGAAUAAUUUAGGCUGGAAGGGACUUCUGGAGAUCACAGGACUCAGUCCUCUGCUCCAAGCAGUGCCAGCCUCACAAUUAGACUGCACUUCAAAGUAAGAUGAUUUUGCUUGGGGUUAUAGCUACGUAUUUCCAAGGGAAGAAUCUGGCCCUCAGGUGUAUGUGCAACAUAUGUUGCAUUAUCUGUCCCUGUGUCACCUUCAGUAACAUUUAAACAAACCAGUUCCUUUUCUUUUUCCAGGAAUUUCCCAAUACUUUGGUAUUUCAUUUCAGAGAACUGGACCCCAACCAGUCUGCAGCAGUACUGCAUGUUGCAAUGCAGUUCCAGACUUUCCCCAGGCUCCCUGGGGAGUGACCAGUGUUUCACCUACAGUUGCAGAGCCCCAUUUUGAGGGAAACUGCUUUCCACACACCCCAUCCCCCCAGAAACACAACCCAAAAAUACCAAGUGGUGUUUCUGCUGUGAUUUAAAAGUAGCACAUUUUAGUUUUUCUCUGCUAGUUUUGUACAACAAGCGGCAUUUUGAUUUUGGGUUGGUUGUUUUCUUUUUAAUAGGAGUUUUCUUUUUAAUAUGGUCUUUUGUCUUUUUUUCUGAUUAAGCAUAUUGUCAGAUACCUUCUGUAGACUUCAAAUGUAGAGUAGCAUGAGGAGUUUGCACACAAGAUGCUGAUAUAAUUGCACAGCACAUUUUUAGAUACCUACUUUCCCCAAAACUUGUUCUACUCCAGGGGCAGACUCUGAACUAGUAGUAGUAGUAGUAAUUUUGUCAUAUUCACACUGUGUGCAUGCACCAGUCCCAAACAAGGAAUUACUAUUUACACAACAGAACUGGGAAUAGAAAUCAGCAUUUUAGGAAACAGUAGAUUGUUCUUGCCAUGACAGAUUUGCAGCCCAAGACAGUGUUAAGCAAAAAAGAUCUGUCAUCAGCUGGUAACAAAGAGGGUCUAAGGAGGAGAGGGCAAGGCACAGAAUGCUUUCCAGAUUUGAUUUGAUGAUGGUUUUCUGCUGUUGGAUGGACACAUCCAGCCAAAAUCAGUAAAGUGACCUGGUUCCUCACUUUUGUGAAGUAUUUCUAUAGAAAGCUUUGCUUCCUAACCCUCCAAACUAUUUCUUCAGACUGUUCCAAAAUGUUCUAAUGGAACAGAAGUAUGGUAAUGGAAGUAAGUGAGGAAACACCUGUUAGUUAACUAGCAAAUGUUCUCAUACCCAAAAAAAAAAAAGAGUAGUGAAAUUCAUCAUAAUUGUGGAGGUUUAUGCAAUUGCCUCAUUGUUGGAUGAGGUUCUGGGAGAUGUGUUCCAUUCCUGGGUUUACCAGUGCAGUUCAGACAGCCUCAACAGAAGCCGGGCUUUCCCCCUACCUCCUAGGUGUGCUGGAAAGUAAAUCUGAAAAUUCCCAAGCAAAGCAGACAGUACAUCAAAAUUUAAGAAAGAAAAAAGAUUGGCAAGCCCCAGCAGUGAACAUGAGAUGAGCACUGUGACCUGAGGAACUGAUGAAAUCAGUCUCACUGGCAAAACUAAGCAAUUAAUAUACAGCCAGAGUAAACACUCUUCAUCUCAGGGUUCAGCAAAACAAAGAGCUGAAACCCCCUUAUCUUUUGCAUUUUUCCCUCCCUACAUGUGGUCUCUGAAGGAACAGAGAAAAUUGAGGUCUCAGAGCUUUUUCCCGUUCUUUAGUCUGACUAAAGGUGACUCCGGCUCAGUGCAGCGAGGGUCAUCUCCCUCCCCCAGAUCAAUAUUUUAAUAUGACUUAUCAGAACAAGAAUGAAUUGUUUACUUUAAAACCUCAGGAUCCCAUAAAGGGAGAGGGAAAGGUGUCCACUGGAAGCAGAGGCUUGCAGCAGCUGCCCACUGCUGGGAACUCAGAAAAGAAACCAGGACUCCAAAGGUUCGAGUACAGAGUCAGCAAAAUGUCCUGCAAGAGAAUCCUGGUUCUGCCAAGCCCUACCAACACACCAGAGGAUCCUUUGGCUGUUGUGUCCGCUGGUCUUUGAAACCCCCUCUGCUGAAGUCUGCAGUGAUCACUCCUUCCAUGGGCUAAGGACCUACUCCCAGAGCUGUGGAGUGUGACAAUGGUGUUUGUGUGCAGUCUAUCAAACGCCAUUAUCACACUAAAUAGUUCCUGGCAGACAAGGCAGCAGGUCAGAAAGGUUUGGGAUCUCUGGCAAUACAUCUUCCCACAGUACUGAGGAAUAAACAGCCGUGGUACGUGCACAGCAGGAUGACUCUGCUCCUUCUUUUAGAGGCAAAAGCACCAGAAUAUGUGAGAAAUCCAUACUUUGACACAUGCACUUCCAGACCGCAUUGUAAAGCACACCAGACUUGUUAAGGAAUCAUCACUAUACUGUCAUCAUUAGGAAAGUGGAUUUCCUUGGCAUUAACAGGGCUAUAUUUACCUCUGAGAUGUCAGCUUGUGAUUUUCAUGGAACUGACCAGGACAAUAAAACUGAAGGCAAUUAGCCAACA